GGCGAAGAAUCGCGAAAAUCGGUCACCUGACUCUGGAUCAGGAGAUUGAAGGUUAGAAUCCUUCCUCGCCA
rnacentral:tRNA from 1 species